AUAUAAAUCAUAAACACACGCAUCAAAUUAAGAAGGAUGGUGUAACAGAUAAAGAAUUGGACCUCAAAUUGAGCGGAAGCACCUUCAAAAACUCGAUCAAAUAUGAAAUGCCAAACCCAUGAAUUUUACAGCAGAAGACCGUGGACAGAGAACUCGAAUCACAGCUUGAAACUAAUGGUGAACCUCUCGCCGGAGCUCCAAACGGUAACCUCAAACGAAAUUUCUGCUAUACCCCAUUCAAAUAUGGUAAAAAUUAAAUUGGGUUUAUAUCCGGCGAAGUACUGGUGUGUUCAUCUUUUAUCCCGUAGCUAAUUAGCGUAAACCAACAAAGUAGGACUCGCCGAGGAAAGAAAACUGCCAGAGAAAACCUAUUUGUGAGCUUUCCCUCAAAUAUAUGUAAAGAUCAAUAGGCACCAAAACCAGAGAAUCAAAAUUGUGUAGGUGUUGCGGCAAUUUCGAUUUCUAGUCGUCUACUUGGGACAUUAGCUCUCCGUUCUCUCCCCCUUUGUUUUUUCUACUCUGUUCUUUUCUCAGUUCUCUCUCCGUUGCUCUCCAAAUUCCCUCUCCUCCCUGUCUGCUUUUGGG
rnacentral:lncRNA from 1 species